rnacentral:rRNA from 1 species
UGGCUCAGGACGAACGCUGGCGGCGUGCCUAACACAUGCAAGUCGAACGGUAAGGCCCCUUCGGGGGUACACGAGUGGCGAACGGGUGAGUAACACGUGAGCAACCUGCCUCUGACAUUGGAAUAACAGUUGGAAACAGCUGCUAAUACCGGAUAUGACUCUUCCUCGCAUGGGGUUGGGUGGAAAGUUCYGGCGGUCAGGGAUGGGCUCGCGGCCUAUCAGCUAGUUGGUGAGGUAAUGGCUCACCAAGGCUUCGACGGGUAGCCGGCCUGAGAGGGCGACCGGCCACACUGGGACUGAGAUACGGCCCAGACUCCUACGGGAGGCAGCAGUGGGGAAUAUUGCACAAUGGGCGAAAGCCUGAUGCAGCAACGCCGCGUGCGGGAUGACGGCCUUCGGGUUGUAAACCGCUUUCACCCAUGACG